GAUGAACGCUGGCGGCGUGCCUAAUACAUGCAAGUCGAGCGAACAGAUAAGGAGCUUGCUCCUUUGACGUUAGCGGCGGACGGGUGAGUAACACGUGGGUAACCUACCUAUAAGACGGGAAUAACUCCGGGAAACCGGGGCUAAUGCCGGAUAACAUUUAGAACCGCAUGGUUCUAAAGUGAAAGAUGGUUUUGCUAUCACGUAUAGAGGGACCCGCGCCGUAUUAGCUAGUUGGUAAGGUAACGGCUUACCAAGGCAACGAUACGUAGCCGACCUGAGAGGGUGAUCGGCCACACUGGAACUGAGACACGGUCCAGACUCCUACGGGAGGCAGCAGUAGGGAAUCUUCCGCAAUGGGCGAAAGCCUGACGGAGCAACGCCGCGUGAGUGAUGAAGGUCUUCGGAUCGUAAAACUCUGUUAUUAGGGAAGAACAAAUGUGUAAGUAACUGUGCACGUCUUGACGGUACCUAAUCAGAAAGCCACGGCUAACUACGUG
rnacentral:rRNA from 1 species